rnacentral:rRNA from 1 species
AUUGAACGCUGGCGGCAGGCCUAACACAUGCAAGUCGAGCGGGGGUAGCAAUACCCUAGCGGCGAACGGGUGAGGAAUGCUUGGGAAUCUGCCUCGUAGUGGGGGAUAACGUUCCGAAAGGAACGCUAAUACCGCAUACGUCCUACGGGAGAAAGGGGGGGAUCUUCGGACCUCUCGCUAUGAGAUGAGCCCAAGCGGGAUUAGCUAGUUGGUGAGGUAAAGGCUCACCAAGGCUACGAUCCCUAGCUGGUCUGAGAGGAUGAUCAGCCACACUGGAACUGAGACACGGUCCAGACUCCUACGGGAGGCAGCAGUGGGGAAUAUUGGACAAUGGGCGAAAGCCUGAUCCAGCCAUGCCGCGUGUGUGAAGAAGGCCUCGGGUUGGUUAAAGGACACUUUAAGUACGAGGAGGAAGGUUCGGUUACUUAAUACGUAACGGAA